UUUUAUUCGUAAUAUACGUGUUUUAAGUCUAUAAAAAAAAAAAAAAAAAAAAAACCAAAAAAAAAACAAAAAAAUUUAAUACUACCUAUUACUAACCUAUACGCUCAUAAACGCGACUAUAUAAUAUGACCUAAUUUAAUUUUACGCCGUUUAAUAUUAUAACCGUGUUAAUACCCGCUAACACAUUACCCGUAACAUUGCGUUAUUGAUGGAUUAAUAAUGUUCAAACGGUCGAUAUAUUAUUAUUAUACCGAUAAAUGCUUUUUUCGGUGUUAUUCUUCUCUUUACGCAUAAGUCUGUUACUAUCGCUGUUAUUGCCGUUACGGUACCGUAUUUAAAGGCGCCGUGAUACCCGCACGAUAUGCGCCGUCGCCGUCUUGUGGACGUAAGACACUGUAAAUUUGCGUUCUGCCGUGCCGUUAGUUUUAAUGAUUUUCGAGCGAAUUGACCGUAGACAGUACACGCUGAAUGCCAAAUAGUUAGUUGGUUGACGAUAAAAUAGUAAAAUAAAAUAAAAUAAUUAAACUGGUGGUCAAUGCUCGUAAGUAAAUACAUAGUAAACAAAUAUGAAAAUAAAAAACGAACAAAUGAAUAAAUGCGUCGCCCGG